CUGUAAUGUAAACACUUCCUUUUCUCUGAAAAAACAGGGUUUACUGCAAAAUGCCUGAAGGUAAUGAUUCUACUCACAAGAAUAAAUACAAUAAGCUGUAGUUGUUCUGGUAACUAUAGUGUCCCUUUAAAAGCAGGUAGAGUUUUUAUGAUUUUGAUAUAAUUUUUUCCUUUGUUUAACCAUUUGUUUUAACAUGUUUUCAUAAUAUAAAAACACACACACUCUCACUCUCUCUCUCUAAAGCUCAAUGUAUCAGUGGGAGCACUAGAAGCUGAUUGAACAUGUGUAAUACAGCUGCGAGCAGCAUCUUGCAAAAUACAGGAGGGAGGAAAAUACGCAUGGAAAACACUCAAGCAUAGAAAUGAGAGCCGCCUGCAGCUUCUUUUCAGUUGUGUGAACAGUCUGCUUUCAUUUUGUAUGGCUCAGCAGCAUUCCAAUGCCGGCUAUAAAAAUGAGUUGAACAUUAGUGAACACAAUUCAGAGCACUCCAUUGCAAAAUAAUCUAACGCUCAUGCAGAAUUUAAAAGCAUCCGGCCAAAAUAGACGAACUUUCUCUCCUGCACCAUCUCCAUCAGAUACAUGAUGCUUGGGAG